rnacentral:rRNA from 1 species
UACGGGGGGGGCAAGCGUUGUUCGGAAUUACUGGGCGUAAAGGGCUCGUAGGCGGCCAACUAAGUCGGACGUGAAAUCCCCAGGCUCAACCUGGGAACUGCAUCCGAUACUGGAUGGCUUGAAUUCGGGAGAGGGAUGCAGAAUUCCAGGUGUAGCGGUGAAAUGCGUAGAUAUCUGGAGGAAUACCAAUGGCGAAGGCAGCUCUCUGGGACGGUACUGACGCUGAGACGCGAAAGCGUGGGGAGCGAACAGG